ACCACCACCACGAUGACUUGUAAGCAACUUACUGUAUUUUAGUGCUGAACCAUCUGAGUUUUUAAUUUAGUGACAGAAGGAUAUUGAGUGCAGUCAAGUACUUAACAAAUCGGUGUGUGAGUCACGAUGAAAUUGACCUCUCUGAAUUAGUAGGAGAUAUGCAUCAGUGUAUUUCAAUUUAGUAAAACCUCGGUCAGGAUAAUCCAUGUGAUGGAUUUGAAAGGUUGAAAUACAAUGUGGAUGACUUAAUUAGGGUUGACAGUUAAACCCUAUAUCAUCUUGAGUAUUUCGGUCAAAGAAAUAAAUUAUAUGGUAACCAUACGCCAGUAGGUUCUAGAAGGUUUCUUUGCAAUACUUCGACCUAUCCGAUCUCAGGUCACCAUUGCUAGAUGG
rnacentral:lncRNA from 1 species